AUUGAACGCUGGCGGCAGGCCUAACACAUGCAAGUCGAGCGGAUGACGGGAGCUUGCUCCUUGAUUCAGCGGCGGACGGGUGAGUAAUGCCUAGGAAUCUGCCUGAUAGUGGGGGACAACGUUUCGAAAGGAACGCUAAUACCGCAUACGUCCUACGGGAGAAAGCAGGGGACCUUCGGGCCUUGCGCUAUCAGAUGAGCCUAGGUCGGAUUAGCUAGUUGGUGGGGUAAUGGCUCACCAAGGCGACGAUCCGUAACUGGUCUGAGAGGAUGAUCAGUCACACUGGAACUGAGACACGGUCCAGACUCCUACGGGAGGCAGCAGUGGGGAAUAUUGGACAAUGGGCGAAAGCCUGAUCCAGCCAUGCCGCGUGUGUGAAGAAGGUCUUCGGAUUGUAAAGCACUUUAAGUUGGGAGGAAGGGCAGUAAGCUAAUACCUUGCUGUUUUGACGUUACCGACAGAAUAAGCACCGGCUAACUCUGUGCCAGCAGCCGCAGUAA
rnacentral:rRNA from 1 species